UACAGAGACCCCGAGCGUUGACCGGAUUUAUUGGGCGUAAAGCGUACGCAGGCGGUUUUGUAAGUCAUUUGUCAAAUCUUCAGGCUCAACCUGGAGGCUGCAGGUGAUACUGCAAAACUAGAGGAUGGGAGAGGCCAACGGAAUGCCCGGUGUAGGGGUAAAAUCCGUUAAGAUCGGGUAGAACACCAAAUGCGAAGGCAGUUGGCUGGAACAAUCCUGACGCUGUAGUACGAAAGCGUGGGUAGCGAAUGGG
rnacentral:misc_RNA from 1 species